UACGAAGGGGGGCUAGCGUUGCUCGGAAUCACUGGGCGUAAAGGGUGCGUAGGCGGGUCUUUUAAGUCAGGGGGUGAAAUCCUGGAGCCCAACUCCAGAACUGCCUUUGAUACUGAGGAUCUUGAGUUCGGGAGAGGUGAGUGGAACUGCGAGUGUAGAGGUGAAAUUCGUAGAUAUUCGCAAGAACACCAGUGGCGAAGGCGCUCACUGGCCCGAUACUGACGCUGAGGCACGAAGGCCAGGGGAGCAAACGGGG
rnacentral:rRNA from 1 species